GUGCAGUGUGAAUUCAGGAUAAGCAUAUUUAACGGAAGAUGGAUAGGAAUUAGAUAGACGAUGCGAACCAUCAAGGCUGAUGUGUAUGCAUUCAUGCACAAAAACUCCGGAGCAGUUAGUGGCCCAUCUGCCAUAACUCGUAUUGAUACGGUCUCUGAGCUUCUUAGGCCUGUCUCCGAAUCACCUAUGACG